rnacentral:rRNA from 1 species
UACGUAGGGUGCGAGCGUUAAUCGGAAUUACUGGGCGUAAAGGGUGCGCAGGCGGUCCUGCAAGUCAGGCGUGAAAUCCCCGGGCUUAACCUGGAAAUGGCACUUGAAACUACGGGACUGGAGUAUGGCAGAGGGAGGUGGAAUUCCACGUGUAGCGGUGAAAUGCGUAGAGAUGUGGAGGAACACCGAUGGCGAAGGCAGCCUCCUGGGCCAAUACUGACGCUCAUGCACGAAAGCGUGGGGAGCAAACAGG